CAGCAGUGAGGAAUAUUGGUCAAUGGGCGAGAGCCUGAACCAGCCAUCCCGCGUGCAGGAUGACGGCCCUACGGGUUGUAAACUGCUUUUCUGCAAGAAGAAUGGUCAUUACGAGUAGUGAUUUGACGGUAUUGCAGGAAUAAGCAUCGGCUAACUCCGUG
rnacentral:rRNA from 1 species